rnacentral:rRNA from 1 species
GUCGAGCGGUAGAGAGAAGCUUGCUUCUCUUGAGAGCGGCGGACGGGUGAGUAAUGCCUAGGAAUCUGCCUGGUAGUGGGGGAUAACGUUCGGAAACGGACGCUAAUACCGCAUACGUCCUACGGGAGAAAGCAGGGGACCUUCGGGCCUUGCGCUAUCAGAUGAGCCUAGGUCGGAUUAGCUAGUUGGUGRGGUAAUGGCUCACCAAGGCGACGAUCCGUAACUGGUCUGAGAGGAUGAUCAGUCACACUGGAACUGAGACACGGUCCAGACUCCUACGGGAGGCAGCAGUGGGGAAUAUUGGACAAUGGGCGAAAGCCUGAUCCAGCCAUGCCGCGUGUGUGAAGAAGGUCUUCGGAUUGUAAAGCACUUUAAGUUGGGAGGAAGGGUUGUAGAUUAAUACUCUGCAAUUUUGACGUUACCGACAGAAUAAGCACCGGCUAACUCUGUGCCAGCAGCCGCGGUAAUACAGAGGGUGCAAGCGUUAAUCGGAAUUACUGGGCGUAAAGCGCGCGUAGGUGGUUUGUUAAGUUGGAUGUGAAAUCCCCGGGCUCAACCUGGGAACUGCAUUCAAAACUGACUGACUAGAGUAUGGUAGAG